rnacentral:rRNA from 1 species
CAGGCUGCAACCCGCCUGCGUGAAGUUGGAAUCGCUAGUAAUCGCGGAUCAGCAUGCCGCGGUGAAUACGUUCCCGGGCCUUGUACACACCGCCCGUCACACCAUGAGAGUCGGGAACACCCGAAGUCCGUAGCCUAACAGCAAUGGGGGCGCGGCCGAAGGUGGGUUCGAUAAUUGGGGUGAAGUCGUAACAAGGUAGC